rnacentral:tRNA from 1 species
GCCUCCGUGGCGCAAUCGGCUAGCGCAUUUGGCUGUUAACCAAAAGGUUGGAGGUUCGAGCCCUCCCGGGGGCG